UAUGUUUUAGUAUAAGGUGUACAUUAAUUUUUGAUAUUAAUAGUAAUAGUUAAAUUCUAUUAAACAUAA
rnacentral:tRNA from 1 species